AGAAUCAACGCUGGCGGCGUGCCUCAGACAUGCAAGUCGAACGCGAAAUCCCGAGCAAUCGGGAAAGUAGAGUGGCGCACGGGUGAGUAACACGUAGGUAAUCUACCUUCGGAUGGGGGAAUAACAACCGGAAACGGUUGCUAAUACCGCAUAAUGCAGCGGCACCUAAUGGUGACAGUUGUUAAAGCGGGGGAUCGAAAGACCUCGCGUCUGAAGAGGAGCCUGCGGCGGAUUAGCUAGUUGGUAAGGUAAUGGCUUACCAAGGCAACGAUCC
rnacentral:rRNA from 1 species